rnacentral:rRNA from 1 species
CUGUCAGCCGCCGCGGUAAUACGAAGGGGGCUAGCGUUACUCGGAAUUACUGGGCGUAAAGGGCGCGUAGGCGGCUUGGCCAGUCAGGCGUGAAAUUCCUGGGCUUAACCUGGGGACUGCGCUUGAUACUGCCAGGCUUGAGGCCGAGAGAGGGUGGUGGAAUUCCCAGUGUAGAGGUGAAAUUCGUAGAUAUUGGGAAGAACACCGGUGGCGAAGGCGACCACCUGGCUCGGUACUGACGCUGAGGCGCGACAGCGUGGGGAGCAAACAGGAUUAGAAACCCGGGUAGUCC